UAAGCAGGCCGCCUUAUCGCUGCUAAUGCAAAUUAGUAGAGGAAAGUCCGGACACCAAAGGGCGACAUAGUGGGUAACGCCCACCGUUUCCCGUUCCGACAAUUAAGGGGAUGGGAUUAGGACCAGUGCAACAGAAAGAAUGUACAGGUAAUGCUGUAGUGAAAUCAGGUAAACUCUAUGUGGUGCAAUGUCACGUAAACCGGUGCCUGCAAACUGCCCGUUUGCUACCGGAGGGUAGGCAGCUAAAGGUUUUUGGUAACAAAAACUUCAGAUAAAUGAUAGGGGCUUUCUAAGAAAUUAGAAAGAACAGAAUCCGGCUUACAGGCCUGCUUUUUAU
rnacentral:RNase_P_RNA from 2 species